rnacentral:tRNA from 1 species
GGGCGGCUAGCUCAGUGGUAGAGCGCCUCGUUUACACCGAGGAUGUCGGGAGUUCGACCCUCUCGCCGCCCACCA